CAGCUGCACAAGCUGAGGUGUAGGCCUGUACUACCACACACAGCCUGAUUUUAAAAUAAAAUAAACGUAAAGACUAAUUUCUAUACUUGUCAUGGAAAUGUACAUUUUAGGGGUUUUGUAGGUUUUUGGUUUGUUUUUUUUUUUUUAAGGGAUGUCAAGAAAAGCGAAGACAUUAUAUAUGGUGGAUUCUUUUACUGUAACGUGUUAACAUUGCUUCCAUUUUGAAGCUGUGGUCUUGUCCUUAGCCAGUGUGACUUACGACUGGCACAGAUGUUGCACACUUGCAGCUCAAGUUGAAAUAGGGGCCAUGUAGGCUUUAGUGUGUGUGUGUGUGUGUGUGUGUGUGUGUGUGUGUGUGUGUGUGUGUGUGUGUGUGUGUGAGUACACGUACUGGAGGCCAGAGGUUACAUAAGGCAGACAGCCUCUUCCUCUGCUCUUGUACUUAUGUUUGACACUGGGACUCUACCCCAGAACUCAGUAGCUAGCUGACCAGUAAGGUCCAAGGCUCUGCUUGUUCCCACCUCCCUUCUAGUGCUGAAGUUACAGGUGCAGGCCGCCAUGUGGGUGCUGGGGUCCCAGGUGGGCCUGCGCUUGUGAGAUAACACCGUCUUUGCCAGCUGAGCUAACUAACUCCCUAGGCCAGAUCUUUCUUAAAGAUGUAUGUAUGUAUGUAUUUAUUUAUUUAUUUAUUUAUUUAUUUAUUUAUUUAUUUAUUUAUUUAUUUGAGUACACUGUAGAUGUCUUCAGACACCAGAAGGAAGAGGGCAUCGGAUCCCAUUACAGAUGGUUGUGAGCCACCAUGUGGUUGCUGGGAAUUGAACUCAGGACUUGUGGAAGAGCAGUCAGUGCUCUUAACUACUGAGCCAGCUCUCCAGCCCUCUUUGGGUUUUUUUGUUUGUUUGUUUGUUUGUUUGUUUGUUUGUUUUGUUUUUAAUAAUUGUGUGAAGGCGUCUGCACCAAGCCUGGCGGCCUGCCUUUUCCCCCUGGAACCUAUAGAGUAGAGGUAGAGGAGCAGAUCCCUGUGAACUGUCCUCUGACCUCCAUACACAUGUGCACACACAUGUAAAUGAGAGUUAAAGAGAGACCAGCUGGUGGCUUGUUAAAAUAAAUACUUUUAGUUUAAACUGUGCUUUUUGCUCUAGUGUUCUUUAGUGCACUGAGCUGUUACAUUUAUUCUGUGUUAGAGUAACCACGCCUCUCUAACACUAGGACACAGGAGUUGACAGGCUUGGUGCUGACCACAGAAGUUAAACUAAAUGUGCUCAAAGUGUUAAGAUUACUUUUUGGAGUUUAAUGAACACCAGGCUAGGGGUUACUUUCUGAAGGAUUAACUUGGUGUUUUUAACAUUUAGGCGGAAUGUAAUUGAAGCCGUUUACAAUAGACUGAACCCUUACAAAAACGACGACACUGAUUCUGCGUCAACUGAUGAUAUGUGGUAAAGCUGCUCAUCUAGCCAUGGUUUCACCUUUGCCUCCAAGGGAGAGAGAUCAGCGCAUCCUUGCUGAGCCUUUAACAUCCAUCACCGACUUAAGGAAGGGGUCCGACAUGGGUGAGGGACUACAGCUUCAGCGAUGGAACAGCCAGCCCAGAAUGGAUUUUUUUUUUUUUUUAUUGUAAAUUUGAGACUUAUGUAAGCGUGAUUUCAAACCGUAAUUCAUGUUGUAAAUCAGACUCCAGCAAUUUUUGUUGUAUGAUUUUGGUUUUUUGUAAAGUGUAAUUGUCCUUGUACAAAGUGCUCAUAUUUAAUUAUGAACUGCUUUAAAAUCACUAUCAAUGAUAAAGGAAAUUUG
rnacentral:lncRNA from 1 species